rnacentral:rRNA from 1 species
UACGUAGGGGGCAAGCGUUGUCCGGAUUUAUUGGGCGUAAAGAGCGUGUAGGCGGCCUGACAGGUCUGCUGUGAAAACUCGAGGCUCAACCUCGAGAUGUCGGCGGAAACCGUCUGGCUAGAGUCCGGAAGAGGAGAGUGGAAUUCCUGGUGUAGCGGUGAAAUGCGCAGAUAUCAGGAAGAACACCUAUAGCGAAGGCAGCUCUCUGGGACGGUACUGACGCUGAGACGCGAAAGCGUGGGGAGCGAACAGG